rnacentral:rRNA from 1 species
UGGGGAAUAUUGCACAAUGGGCGCAAGCCUGAUGCAGCCAUGCCGCGUGUGUGAAGAAGGCCUUCGGGUUGUAAAGCACUUUCAGCGGGGAGGAAGGCGGUGAGGUUAAUAACCUCACCGAUUGACGUUACCCGCAGAAGAAGCACCGGCCAACUCCGUGCCAGCAGCCGCGGUAAUACGGAGGGUGCAAGCGUUAAUCGGAAUUACUGGGCGUAAAGCGCACGCAGGCGGUCUGUCAAGUCGGAUGUGAAAUCCCCGGGCUCAACCUGGGAACUGCAUUCGAAACUGGCAGGCUAGAGUCUUGUAGAGGGGGGUAGAAUUCCAGGUGUAGCGGUGAAAUGCGUAGAGAUCUGGAGGAAUACCGGUGGCGAAGGCGGCCCCCUGGACAAAGACUGACGCUCAGGUGCGAAAGCGUGGGGAGCAAACAGG